GCUUCAUGGUCAACUGGAUCGCCGGCAACUGGAACUCGCCGUGGAAGUGCCUGGUCAACCACGACGGCGUGUUCGAUCAACGCAUGAUGGG
rnacentral:tRNA from 1 species